GUUAAAACGAAGUCGGUUUAGAAAUCAGCUGGAGUGGGUGGAAGUGCAAACUGGGAUUAAUUAAAUUGAAUUACCAGGAGGCUAACAAUAGAUCCAAAUCCGAUCAUCGGAAAGCGACCGACGUAAGAAUCGGCGAGAAAAGCCCCAAUAAUUGGCAUGAGAUUGGUGGCAGCUGACCAGAAGAAGAGGAUAUUGGCUCCCGUAGCUGCCUCCAACCUAUACUCUCUCGUCAAAUACAGAAUCAUGUUUGGCAACAGCCCGAAGCUUGCCACUUUCUCAAAUGCCGAAUUUGCUACAAUGAAAGGCAAGGCUCGGAAGCCGCCCUUUG
rnacentral:misc_RNA from 1 species